GUAACUCUGGAGAAGCUCGAUCAACCGAGUGCCGAAGGUGCAAAGCGGGGAAUCAUUUCCCGCCAAUCUCUCAGGCAAAAGGACAGAGGAAA
rnacentral:ncRNA from 1 species